UGGAUUCUAAACUCGCACGUCACAGAGCCGUUACCCGGUUCACCGAGGACAAAGCAAAGGGUGGACGUCGUGGAAAAACUAUUAACAUCUUUUCAAUUGCUUCUGGACACCUGUAAGUGGUUCUCUUAUAUUAACUUGAUAUUAUAAUUUGCUUUUAAUUAUGGAUGAAAGGCACCUAUUGAUUCCGUUUCAGUUUUCUUUGAAUUUUGAAAAUUAAGAAAUGUUUGCAUUGAUCCAAAACCUCUUAAAGGUAUAUUGAUGGAAUAGUCACGUGUAUCUGGCUUGCCACAAUGUCCUUAUUCUAAAUUGGACGAUCCCUAAAUGUUAAAAUAUCAACAGUUUGAGAAGAAAUUUGCAACAGUAACAUCUUUUAUCAAAUGUGACGUUGAUGAUUAUAGAAUGAACAUUGAAGCAUGACAUAAGGUAGAAUGAUGAAAAGAAUGAGUGACUGUUGGACCAGAAGCCACUCAGUUUGCACCCUUCUUUUUCUGCUUCAAUUGACCACUUUAAUUCAAGGUUGCGGGGUGUUCCAUAUGGUUCUAGGAAGAAGAUGCAAAUAAUCACACCUAAUUGUUAACGUCAAUUCGGCAGCUAUGAGUGUGGGUAUUAUGUAAUGAAACACAUGCAUACCAUUAUUUGUACAAACAUUACUAAAUCAUGGAAUAAG